GUCAGUGAGACAAUGCAACUUUCAGGACAUUUUACGUGACGCAAAUAAGGAUUGAGAACAAGAACCAGGCUGGGAAGGUAUGACAUCACACCGAUGAUGUCACACACACCCAGCCUUGUGAUGACGCCCUUUGAUGUUACAGCUUUAGUCUGGAGUCACCAGCGAAAUUCUCUCCAUUUCGCUGGUGAACACAAAGCUCCCCUGACCUACAUUUUGCUUGGCUCCGACUUUUCUGGCUUUAAAGCCGAACGAGAAAACUCAAGAUGUGCAAAACUGAGAGGCAGAAAGCAAUAGCUGCCCUUUUUGAUGCUGAAAAAAUGCGCAGAAGGAACAACAGGGCGUUCCAGAAGCUCCUGAAGAUCAAUGCGGAGCUUGAGAACGCUUCCGAACGCAGAAGACGUUUACGCAUUGGGCAGGAACUGGAGAAAAACGAGAAGGAGUUUUUCGAAGAAUCCGAAAAACGACUCUUUAUGUUGAAUGCGCAAUCUGACAUCUGGGAUGAUGAGCAAGAAAGACUGGAUAGUUUAUCCAAAAUGAGAGAUAAGCUUUUCGGAAUAUUGAAAGAGAUGAACGAUCAACUCGUUGAGGAACCUAUAAUGACAUCAAUGAUCAAGGCAGCCCAACAACAGUAUGAAAGGCUGAAUUUUCUUCACAAAGUUUUAAAGAAAAAUAUUAGAGCCUUGUCAAAACAUCUUGUGCAUCAAACUAAACUGUUUGAUGAGUACACAGAGAAAGUAUCGGAAAGCAAGGAGAUGAUAGCAAUUCAAGACGGCUACUUUAAAGAGCUUAUGAAAACAUUAAGAGUGUUCAACGUGGCCAACGUGGAUAAAAAAGUUAUGGCAGAAGAGGAACGUGUGAAGAAAGCAGUCGAUAAGAAUCAUAAGCUCGAGGAAAUGAUCAAAACCUUGAGACAGCAAGCGGUUAACGUGCCCUUGUUGAAAUAUCAAUUUCAAUGUGCAGUAGAUGAGGAACGAAGGCUCAAAGACCUCAACGUCGAGUUAGACAAGGUGAUUCAGAACUUGACAGAUAUACUUACCAAUCAAACUAAGUGGGACGCCACUUAUCAAGACGUGGACAAGAAGAUCAAUAAUCUUAACGAAAUUUACUAUUCUCACCUGAAGAUGUAUGAGGAUUUGACAGGAAAGAAAAUACAAGUUGGGAGCGACUCGACACUUUCCGUGGUUCCAAAAGAGAAAAAUAAGAAAGACUUCUUUGCCAAACGCUUACAUAGAUACAGGUCUAAAAUCCAUGCUCUCCAUCAGGAAUACACAUCCUUUCAACCAGAAAUUCAGAGAUUUCUGGGGGACCUUCACCCUGAUUCUGGCGAGGGUCCUGCGGAAUCAAAAACUCGUUCUUCCAUUCCUUCGACAAUGGCCUGGAAGUUUACAGGACUGACUUCUAAACACAGGGAACCAGAGAAGUUUUCUGAUGAGUCUUCAAGUGAGACCGAGUUUGAGGACAGUGAGACAACAGAGGAGUCAACAGACGAUUCCAGACAGAAAAGGAGUUAUGCCAUGUUUGGGAAGAAGACUGAAAAAACAGCAUCUGUAAAGGACGAGUAUGAGUAUGAGUCAUCAACAGAUUGCUGCUCUCUUACUAGUACAGAAACCACAACAAAGGUCCAGUCUUACUGCAAAACAUCAACGGAUGGUUCAAGACAUGAUUCACCUUCCUACUCAGAGGAGUGGUGGAUGGUAUGGCGGAAGGUCUUUUUCUGAGUGAAUGAUGGAAGGACGGUAAAAGAGAUCUUCUGCCGUGGCAACAGACACCUUGACCUGAGAGUACACCGUCUCCUGCUGCCUGCUGUCCUGUGCUGACAUGGAGGAAGCUCCAGGUCUCCUCUGAAGGAAGUUCACUUCUUCAUAAUGAAGUGUUGCUAAUCGACGGGUGAAACAAUGUGAACGGUGCAUUGCUAGACGCAGACGUUGAACACGUCUCUACCUGAGUCUGUUGUGGAGUUGCACGUUUGCACUUCAAGUACCUGGAGGACAUUAGAGAGCCGUCAGAAUAAAUUUGCUGAGCUUCAGGAGACAAAACAAAGACUAAGACUACGAGAGUCCAGGCUGACCUGGAACUAGCAGGGGAGGAACAACAGUAAAAUCAUAUUGUCUUAAAUUAAAGCAAGGAAAUCAGUAA